rnacentral:rRNA from 1 species
GACGAACGCUGGCGGCGUGCUUAACACAUGCAAGUCGAACGGAAAGGCCCUGCUUUUGUGGGGUGCUCGAGUGGCGAACGGGUGAGUAACACGUGAGUAACCUGCCCUUGACUUUGGGAUAACUUCAGGAAACUGGGGCUAAUACCGGAUAGGAGCUCCUGCUGCAUGGUGGGGGUUGGAAAGUUUCGGCGGUUGGGGAUGGACUCGCGGCUUAUCAGCUUGUUGGUGGGGUAGUGGCUUACCAAGGCUUUGACGGGUAGCCGGCCUGAGAGGGUGAACGGCCACAUUGGGACUGGGAUACGGCGCAGACUCCUACGGGAGGCAGCAGUGGGGAAUAUUGCACAAUGGGCGGAAGCCUGAUGCAGCAACGACGCGUGCGGGAUGGCGGCCUUCGGGUUGUAAACCGCUUUCGCCUGUGACGAAGCGUGAGUGACGGUAAUGGGUAAAGAAGCACCGGCUAACUACGUG